GCAGGCUGAGGGGCUGGAGAGAUGGCUCAGAGGUUAAGAGCACUGGCUGCUCUUGCAGAGGUCCUGAGUUCAAUUCCCAGCAACCACAUGGUGGCUCACAGCCAUCUAUAAUGAGAUCUGGUGCUCUCUUCUGGCAUGCAGGCAACACGCAGAACACUGUAUUCAUAAUAAAUAAAUAAAUUUAAAAAAGAAAAGAAAAGAAAGCAGGCUGAGCAAGCCACGAGGAGCCAGCCAGUAAGCAGCGCCCUCCAUGGCCUCCUGCCUCCAGGGUCCUGCCCUGCUUGAGCUCUUCUCCUGACUUCCUUCAGCAAUGGACAGUGAUGUGGAAGUGUCAGCCACAUAAACUUGGCGUUUGCUCAUGGUGUUUCAUCAUAGAAAUAUUAACCCUAACUAAGACAGAUGGGCUGUCACGGGCGGAGGGCGGCGCUUUAACAUGGGGAUGUGGGUGGUGGAAGUCAGGGAGGCACACAGAGGCACACAAGAGUAGUGGGGCCAACUGACCCAGGAUCUUCAGGAACACGACCUCCUGGCCCUCUGAAGGAGCCUUUUAUGCCCCAGAAGGACUAUCAACACUCAGGAAUGGCAAGAGUGCGUGUGUAAGAGUGCGCACGUAGACUGAAUGCAGACAUUCGAGUCGAUGACAGACAGAAGAUGAGGCAGAUCCCCCAAGUGAUGUCACAUCCAAGACAAAAGAUGGGCAAGAGGACCAUGGGCUCAUUCCUGACUGGGGUGCUGGCUGGACCCGAAAACCAGGGAUGCCUGGACUUCAGGGACUCAUGGAGUUUGGGUUACAAGGAGGAGGACCCUGCCUGGCACAAUAGCAUGGGUGGCUGCCCACCCCCUCAGAACACCAGCCUCUGCAAACUUCAUCUUUAUCUGCAUCCAUUAAACUGUGUCUUUGGCAGUGGAGCAGCUCCGUCUGGUGACAGGACCUGUCGGGCUCUGUCUCCUGUCCUGGAUUAUCCCACUAGACACCAAGGUCUGGGUGCUGCAUGCUGACCUCCCCACUGGCUGUCGAGUGAACGAGAGAGCUACUGGCCAUCUGUGUCUCUGCUAAGCUCAGCACAUGUGGGCUUGAUGUCUCCAGUUCCGGGCUACUCCAUACAGACAUUUCAGCCUCUUCCUUUGCUCACUUGGAACGCUCACACCAGCAGCGAAGACCUUGGUACCCACCAUCUGCCCUCUGUCCUGCUAACUCCAAAUUCCAGCAGGUAGGCAGUGGUGUCUAUGGUAUAUUGUCCCUGCCGUUGACGGGCUCCUCGGGUGACUUAAGGCAGCCCCUUCUCUGAAUUCUAGAGAGGCUGGCUCCUACACUUGUACUUGGAUGCAAUUCCACAGUCACUGCCAGGUCAUCUUUCUGGAAUCUGACCUCUUCAACGAUGUUUCAAAGUUUUUAUAUAUUAAGGUCUAUUCUUGCUGUAAAGCUCUGGAGUCAUGACAAAUGUACAUUGCUGUGUGUUGCUGUUUGGAUCUGGACUAUUCUCAAAGGCCCAUGUGAAAAAAAUUUGGUUCCCAGGCUGGUGUCCAGCCAGAAGGUGAUGGCAGCAUGGGGGGUCCAGUCUAGAGAUGUUCAGAUCAUAGUCAAUGUGUCCCUGACCAGAAGUGUCAUGGGUUUCUUCAUGGGUUUCUUCCUCAGUAUUUUUUUUUUUUUUUUUUUUUUUUACUGGCAACCAGGCAUAGAGUUUGCCCCAGGUCCAAAGCAGUGAGUCUGAUUGGGUUUAGUUUGAAACUCCCAAAGCAAGUCUUUCGUCUUCGUAAGUGUCUCAUCUCAGCUGUGUCCCCUCCAGAAAAAUCUGGCUAAUACCCCAUGUGUCCACUGGAACCGUGUCACACACCACUGUCUUGUCUCAUGGCUCCUAAUGUCCCCUUUGUUUUAUCUGGUCAUCUCUACUUCACUCUGACUCCUGGCUAAUGGUUGGUUUGUUUGUUUUUAACUGUUUUCAGAGUUUGCCUUUUGCAGAACACUGUAUGUGUGAGCCACAUAGCCUGCAGCUUGCAGACCUUCUGCUUCUCUUCCUUUGUGACACCCAUUUUAGGUUCUGGCAUGCCUCUGGUGGCUUGAUAGUUCCCUUCUUCUUAUCACUGAAUAAUAUUCCAGUGCAUGGAUGCAGGCACCGGGAAUUGCUAAUCCAGUGACCAACUGAAGGAUAUCUUGGUUGCUUCCAGUUUUUAGCCGUCAUGAAUAAAGCUGCUAUAAAUAGUUGAGACA
rnacentral:lncRNA from 1 species